UACGAAGGGGGGCUAGCGUUGCUCGAAUUGACUGGGCGUAAAGGGCGCGUAGGCGGUUUUGUUAAGUCGGAUGUGAAAUCCCUCGGCUCAACUGAGGAAGUGCAUCCGAAACUGGCAGGCUUGAGUACUAAAGAGGGUCGCGGAAUUCCCGGUGUAGAGGUGAAAUUCGUAGAUAUCGGGAGGAACACCGGUGGCGAAGGCGGCGACCUGGGUAGAUACUGACGCUGAGGUGCGAAAGCGUGGGGAGCAAACAGG
rnacentral:rRNA from 1 species